rnacentral:snRNA from 1 species
AGUUUUGCGCAGUGGCAGUAUCGUAGCCAAUGAGGUUUAUCCGAGGCACAAUUAUUGCUAAUUGAAAUAUAAAAUUUAAUUUAAUUUAAAAAUAAAUAAAAUAAAAGCAGCAGCAGGUGUGCC